rnacentral:lncRNA from 1 species
UUGUUUUCUUGCCACAGCACCGCAACAGUGCAGGCCGGCCGGGGCUCCCACUGCACCACAGCACACGGCGGCGGAGGGGAGUUGAGGAGAGGCGAUGGGGAUCCACCUGCUGGCGUUCGUCGGGGCGAGGAUCAUCGUGCAGGUGUUCCAGGUCUCGGCGCCGCUGCUGUGGCCGCUCAACGUCUGGCUACCGCUCGUGCGCCGCUUGCCCGAGGCCUGCACCGUCGCCCGCGCCGCGCUUGCCAUCCCGGCGGCCCUGUCUGAAGCCGCCACGACGACGGGGUCUACCGCCGGCGGUGCUCGACGUCGCCUACUACUGAGAUGCUGGAACCGUUCGAGACUUGGAGGCAGUAGCAGUGUUAAUAAUUUUCUCAAGUAGAGCAGAGGUGGUCAGUGGCGGAGCCAGGAAUUAAGGAUCAGGGGGCCAAAUAACUGAAACUUUUGAUAACAGGGAUCAAACAAUACUAAUACAUGUAUUUUUUAUAAAUUAUACACUGUUCAUCUGCUAAUUAGCAGCAUUAGUGUCUUAGGGGGGCCAGGGCCCUGCCCCCCGUCGCCGCCACUGAAGGUAGUGGUUAAUUUCAGUUUGUUCUUUUGGUUUCUUUUUCUUGGACUAGAUAAAUUAGCUGCAUGCUUGUGUCUUCUUAGCAAUGCCUGGUCUGAGUGUGGGCUGUAAUUAACCAGGAUUCACAAGUAGUACGAGUGAUUUGUUCAUCCACGCUUCUUUUUUGGCGACGAUGAAUACAGUGGAAUGCUAG